rnacentral:rRNA from 1 species
GCGUGUGAGCCAGCUGCCAAGAAAAGCCGCUAUUGCUUCAUAAGUACCCGUACCGUAAACCGACACAGGUGGAUGAGGAGAGAAUCCUAAUGCCGGCGGGAGAAGUGUUGUUAAGGAACUCGGCAAAAUGACUCCGUAACUUCGGGAGAAGGAGUGCCGCAGAGAUGUGGCCGCAGAGAAAUGGCCCAAGCAACUGUUUAGCAAAAACACAGGUCUAUGCAAAACCGAAAGGUGAGGUAUAUGGGCUGACGCCUGCCCGGUGCUGGAAGGUUAAGAGGAGAGGUUAGAGCAAUCGAAGCUUUGAAUUUAAGCCCCAGUAAACGGCGGCCGUAACAAUAACGGUCCUAAGGUAGCGAAAUUCCUUGUCGGGUAAGUUCCGACCCGCACGAAAGGCGUAAUGAUUUGGGCACUGUCUCAACAACACACCCGGUGAAAUUGAAAUACCAGUGAAGAUGCUGGUUACCUGCGCCAGGACGGAAAGACCCCAUGGAGCUUUACUCCAGUUUGAUACUGGGAUUCGGUACUGUCUGUACAGGAUAGGUGGGAGGCUAGGAAAUGGUGACGCCAGUUGCCAUGGAGCCAACCUUGGGAUACCACCCUUACAGUACUGGGUUUCUAACCUGCAGCCGUGACCCGGCUGGGGGACAAUGUCUGACGGGGAGUUUGACUGGGGCGGUCGCCUCCGAAAGAGUAUCGGAGGCGCUCAAAGGUUCCCUCAGAACGGUUGGAAACCGUUCGAAGAGUGCAAAGGCAGAAGGGAGCUUGACUGCGACACCGACGGGUGGAGCAGAUGCGAAAGUAGGACUUAGUGAUCCGGUGGUAUAAAGUGGGAUUGCCAUCGCUCAACGGAUAAAAGCUACCCUGGGAUAACAGGCUUAUCACUCCCAAGAGUUCACAUCGACGGAGUGGUUUGGCACCUCGAUGUCGGCUCAUCGCAUCCUGGAGCUGUAGCAGGUUCCAAGGGUUGGGCUGUUCGCCCAUUAAAGCGGUACGCGAGCUGGGUUCAGAACGUCGUGAGACAGUUCGGUCCCUAUCCGGCGUGGGCGUAGGAUAUUUGAGAGGAGCUGUCCUUAGUACGAGAGGACCGGGAUGGACAAACCUCUGGUGUAUCUGUUGUUUUACCAAAGGCAUGGCAGAGUAGCCAAGUUUGGCAGGGAUAAACGCUGAAGGCAUCUAAGCGUGAAGCCCCCCUCAAGAUAAGAUAUCCCAUCUUCGGAGUAAGACCCCUUGAAGACUACAAGGUUGAUAGGCUUCAGGUGUAAGUGUGGUAACGCACUCAGCUGAGAAGUACUAAUAGGUCGAGGACUUAUCAA